GAGGAACAUUUUCAGCCUCUACAGAGGAAACAAUGAGUUCAACACAACAGGACCAACAUGGACUGAGAAGUCAGCGCUCUCAGGAGGCUGACAAAUCUCACAGAAGGAAAAAAGAAAAAAACUACACAUGUGAUCUGUGUGGGAGGAAUUUUACUAGGACGAUUUCAUUAAAAAGACAUCAAGUCAUCCACACUGGAGAAAAAUCAUUCACCUGUGAGUUGUGUGGAAAGUCUUUUGCCCAGGCUGGAAACUUAAUAAGACACCAACUCAUCCACAGUGGAGAGAAAUCAUACAGGUGUGAUCAGUGUGGCAGAGCUUUUAAUCACAGUAGCAGCUUACAGAGGCAUCAAGUUACCCACUCUGGAAUUAAGGCAUACAGCUGUGACUAUUGUGGAAAAACUUUCAGUCUGCUAGGGAGCAGAAAUAUACACCUGCGCAUUCACACUGGACACGAUGUGUACUGCUGUGAUCAGUGUGGCAAAAAGUUUGGAACAAAUGCACAGUUAAAAUCCCACAUGGUUACCCACACUGAGGAGAGACCUUAUCAAUGUGACCUGUGUGAUAAGACGUUCAAAGCUCCACGUUCCCUGAAAGCACACCAAGAGAUCCACAGCAGAAAGAGACUCUACGAGUACAGUUACUGUGAGGACCAACAUGGACCGAGAAGUCAGUGCUCUCAGGAGGCUGACAAACCUCACAGAAGGAAGGGAGAAAAAAAAUACACCUGUGAUCUAUGUGGGAGGGAUUUUACCUGGAAGAUUUCAUUAAAAAGGCAUCAAGUCAUCCACACUGGAGAAAAAUCAUUCAGCUGUGAGUUGUGUGGAAAGUCGUUUGCCCAGGCUGGAAACUUAAUAAGACACCAACUCAUCCACAGUGGAGAGAAAUCAUACAGCUGUGGUCAGUGUGGCAGCGCUUUUAAUCAAAGUAGCAGCUUACAGAGGCAUCAAGUUACCCACUCUGGAAUUAAGGCAUACAGCUGUGACUAUUGUGGAAAAACUUUCAGUCGGCUAGGGCACCGAAAUAUACACCUGCGCAUUCACACUGGACACGAUGUGUACUGCUGUGAUCAGUGUGGCAAAAAGUUUGGAACAAAUGCACAGUUAAAAUCCCACAUGGUUACCCACACUGAGGAGAGACCUUAUCAAUGUGACCUGUGUGAUAAGAAUUUUAAAGUUCCACGUUCCCUGAAAAGGCACCAACAGAUGCACAGCAGAAAGAGACUCUACGAGUGCAGUUACUGUGAGAAGCAGAGCCACACAGAUGGAUCCAGUUCUCAACCCUGUCGUCACUGCGGUGGUGGUAAAGCCUUUCGCUGUGACCUUUGUGGAAAAACCUUCAACUGGCAACGGAGCCUUACGUUGCAUCAGCGUAGACACACUGGACACAAACUGAACUACUGCAAAGAAUGUGGGAGAAGCUUCCCCACAACAAGUAAAUUAAAACUUCAUGAACUCUUCCACAGUGGGGUUAAAAAGCACGUCUGUGACCAGUGUGGGGCAUCCUUCACCACUGCAGGCCACCUUAAAGCACACAAACGAGUCCACACAGGAGAGAAACCAUACAAGUGCAGACACUGUGACAAAAGCUUCUCACAAUCAAGUAAUCGUAACCUUCAUGAAAGUAGACACAUUGGAGGGAACUACAGCUGUGACCAGUGUGACAAGAGCUUCAGGAAUCUCACUUCAUACGUCAAACAUAAACGAUCCCACGCUGCAAAGAAACUGUUUCACUGUUACCAAUGUGCAAAAACAUUCACUUCAUUAUCUGCUCUGUCCAAACAUCAGCAUGAUCAUGCAGGGCUGAAAUCAUUCCCAUCCCUGGGUCACAAUGAAUCUACAAAGACACAAAGAUCCUCUUCUGGUUGCAGGGUUAAACUUAAAAACCUUGAAAUCCGGCUCCACAGAAUUCCGAUUCAAUCUCCGGUAAAGAGUGUCAGCUAAUGUCACACUUGGAUCUGAUGAGGGAGCUCUGAUUUCUGGACUUGCGGUAAAUAAUCCUGAAUCUGACAUUUAGGAAGCUGCAAGUAUAGAUAUAUACAUCAAGGUUUUUAUUUUCCUUUGAGGAAUUUUAAUACUCUGAAAUGUUAUCAAAGGUUUCCCAGUUAAAAUUGAAUCCUUUCAGAAACAGCAGUAUUUAGUAGUAGUAUUUGUAUUAUAAAGUUGUUAUAUCCAACUGAUAUUGCAGCCAAACUUUAUCUUAAUUUUUAAAGGUUGGUGGAGUCCUUGUUUUAUAAGCAGCAGCCAUUGAUAACUAAUAACCUCAUGUCUCAUUAGAAUUAAAUUAUUAACCUAAAUAAUUAGGGGACCCUGUCUAUGGUUAUGAAUUUUAGCAGGUAAUUAAUAUCCAUUUAUACCAGUACAAUAACCAAGUUUGUUUUUAAUUACAAUAAAUUUUUUUUUGUGUAAUUUUAGUUUUAAUCCAGUUUAGUUUGUUCCAAGUGUGGAUUUAUUGUAACGUAGGUUUUUCUUUGUUUCCUUUUCAUUAGUUUGUGUUAGUUUUCUUUGUAUUACAGUAAUAUGUGGAAGUGUUGUCAGGAAGAGGACAGAUUUAGGAAGUACAGAGCACGUAUUACAAUUCAAACACAGCAUCUUUGUGAAUGACUCAGUGAUGUAGAAAUCCAAGUCUCAGACUGCCCACUGAGUUAGCUUUGAAUCUUUUAAUAAUCCUUUUGAUGCUUUUGAUUUUAGUCAUGGAUGGAGACUUAAACAUAAUCAGCAUUUUAACACUGAGCUAAAGAAUGUGGAAAAGAGACUCAUGGAUCAACAGGAUCUGCAGUCAUUCACUCAAAAAUUUCUCCCACCAGCUGAGUCAUAUAUUUCAGUACAUUUCCAGUGAGUCUUAAUAGACACAGCAUGCAGCGAGUGUAUGGAAAGAUGCUGUGGUAAUCCCUGCUCUUAAAUCCAGUUCUCCCAGAACUCUACGUGAUUUCACACCAGCUGCUUUUAAAACCUUCCAACAUGAACUCAAACCAUCACCAGGAUGUGAAACAGCAGCUGCUGUGUCUUUAUGUCCAAAAAAGAUGUAAACUGAAGUUGAACUGAGGCUGAGCUGUACUUCUGUGUAAUACCAGUCUGUACCACAGGAUGGAGCAGUAAGUCAGUGUAACUUUUAUUUAAUCAGGCAAAGAAGUCGUCCUUAUUUCCAGGGGCAGCCUGCAGAAGGUAAAGCCUCUUGAGGAAAUGGGGGUGAGGCAGCAAAGAAGUGCUGACAGGUAAAAACAGCAGCACAUCAGAAACAUCUCAGGAGCUUUUUAAAGUUUGCAGAUGAUCUGUUGUUGUUGCUCAGCUCCAGGACAGUGAGAGCAGCCUUGGCCCAGUCCUCUUUUCUUAAUGCUCCUUAAUGCUCUGUCUGUUACUGCCUUUGAUUUAGCGUGGCAGUCAGUGGCUGAUGUCUCUGUCAGUAAGAAGGCUGUAAUACUGACACUGAUGAACAUGAUGAAGAGCGCCUUGGACCUGUUUCAUUUUUAAGAGCAUAAACACAGAUUUUUAUUUCCCAGCAGCCAGAUGAACAAACGAGUGUUUGUCUUCCAUCAUGUAGGGUGGAUUUGUUCUGCUUUUUUCCUUCACUGUGUUUGAUUCUGUUUCUGUGAUGUUUGCAUUCAGAAGCUCAUCCAUGUGAAAAUGAAAACCUUUCCAAACCAAAUGUACCUGCAGGAGCAAAUAAACUCACCUGAACCUGAAGCCCUCUGAUGUUUAUGUUGGUGAAUGUGACCACACUGACACACAUUUCCUCUCACUUUGUAUUUGUUAGCCAUUAACCAAGGGCCUUAAUAUCUGGCCUUAUUGUAGUAAAUGUAACACAGAGUUCAAGAGAACAAAUGUAUAUGUACACAUGAUUGCACUAAUAAUAAUAAUAAUCUAGUUCCAAAUCAAUGUUGUAUUUAACAGAUAUAAUGUAUGAAUGAGAGCUAAUUCUGUCCUGAUUUUGAAGAACCAACAUGUGGUGGAAGAAAUUGAAAGGAAGUGUGAGUCAAGAAGAUUUAGUCCUUCUUCCUCUGGACUUUGUGCUGAGAAGAUGGAACAGCUGGAAGAUGGGAUUAAGAUUCACAGCUGGAUUAUAAAGCACAGAGUGCAGGAGGAUUAACCAUCUCCAAACAGCUGCAGUCUGACAGCUGGAUUUAUCAGACUUUUCUUCUCUGCUGUAUGGGAUUAUGAACACUGAGGGAAUCAGGACUUUGGACCCUACUUUGGCAUCUGGGUUCCAUCAAAUGUGCCAGAAGAAGAAACAUUGUGCCGGCCUGGCAACAAUUCUCCCUCCUCUCGCUGCAGAAUCAGUGCUAGUAUUUAGCAUCAGCAUACAAUUAUUUUAGUGGUUAAUACUAAUUGAUUCUUCUGAUUUGUUCUAUAAUGUGAUUGAUCUGUAUGUGCUGUUCCUGCCUAGCUUAACCCUUUAACACCCAAGUAUUAUCCAGGCCGCCUGGACUUAUCCUGUCAUUCUGGCUGUGAAAUGAAGGAAAUAAUUGUUGCUUGUUGCUUAGUUCCAUUUCAAAUAACAGGUACCAACAGGUAUGGCGAGCUUGCUGUGAUCAGGCUUGUGAAGUGCAUUUUUUCUUUGUGCUUUGUUUGCACAACAUAAUUUUUGUUAGUAAACUUCAUCACACUUGUUACAAGUUAAAUGUUAAAGCACGUUAGGGAACAAGUUGUAACUCGUUUAACUGAAAGUGUGUGUGAGCAGGCUGGGAUUGGCGUUUUGGCUGCCUCUCCCCACGCUCCCUCGCGAAGCGGGCCUGUGACAGCGGCGGCGGAUCUGGCGUGUAAAUCGACAGCGGCGAAGCUGCGACUGCGGCUGGGAGGUCGGCUAACUAAAUUCCUGCCCUGUCUUUAAUGUCUGUGCAAUUCAGGCAGAAGAAGCACGAGGCACCCUAACAAAGCACAUCCCCGCUUCAAAAUCCAAAGAGCCGGACGAGCGGAAGUGAACUUUCUUCCCAACUUUCCCCAAGAAUAAAACCAGAGCAGUGUGGAAGAAAUGAGACUGCAGAUGAAACAUGAAGUUCAAAAGAGUGACUGAAACCUGAAGUUAAUAGAAAACUUCAUGCAGAUGACCUUUGCCCUCCAUCACCAGAUCAUUCAGGCACAUCCAUUGGUGAAAGACUUCCUGCAGCCGGGCCUUCAGAUCCAAUCACAGGUUUGUGCUGAAGUCCACGGUAUCCCAAAUGUCAGCCUGUGUAACCAGUGUUAUGCUGAUUAUGACAAACGCACACCUAGACUGUCGGCUUUGUAGCGGUACAGAAAAAAGGCAGCACGCACGGGAAAGAUAUCGGGCACACUGCGUGAUGAGAUCCAGCCGGAGAAGACAGAUGCUCAUCAACACUCCUGUUGUGCUUGUAACAGCGGUGAACGUGUGUUGUACAAGUCCAGUUAACAUCACUCCUGCAAGCACUGCAACGGUGGUGGAAAAUGAUCAUGUAAAAAGUGAAAUCCCCAUGUGGACCGAUGCAUUUACAUUGUUGUUUGGAUUGACACGUUCAGGCCCACAGCACUCACCUCUGUGGUGAUGAAGUGUUUUGAAAGACUCAUCAAGACAUUCAUCACCUCCUCACUGCCCACCACCCUCGACCCACUACAGUUCACAU